UUGACCUCGGAUCAGGUAGGGAUACCCGCUGAACUUAAGCAUAUCAAUAAGCGGAGGAAAAGAAACCAACAGGGAUUACCU
rnacentral:rRNA from 1 species